CGGACAGCACACGUACGUCUGGCCGACGUCGGCCCAAGAGUGAAACGUCGGCCUCAUUAUCUAAAACAUCUAAUAAGCGUCGGCCAAGCAUAGGCCGAUAUAAUUCGGUCAGUGCUCUGUUUCUCAGCUCAUCAAGCGUCGGCUCUGAGUCGGCUCACGACCGGAGGCCGAUGCCGCGCUUUUCUGUUUGCUGGAGCAGUUAUUCGUCUCUUAUAUAGCAACCUACAGAGAGAAGAGACUUAUCCCGCGACAUCUGGGGCUUUCAGGCUAACGUUACCAGAAAGAAUCCGUUUCUACGAUGUUUAUUUGUGUAAAUGCUGUGUGUGCGUUGAGCUCUGCACGAGCUGGGAGCAGAGUUG